rnacentral:sRNA from 1 species
AUUAAUGAUUUAGAGUGAAUCCUUCCAGAGCCGGCAAUAAGAACAAGCGGGCCAAACCCAAGUUUGCGGUCGUAAAUACUAUAAAACAAAUUUUAAU